GUGUGUCUGUGUGGGGGGGGGAACCCGGGUGCUGCGUGUGAGGGACCCUCGGUGCCGUCGGGGCUGCUGCAAGGAGACGCAGGCGCGUGUGGUGCGGACCUCGGCACUCUCAGGCGUGUUACACACCUGAAGAGCACCAAGUCCAUAGGAACCAUUUAUCUGGGUGUGGAUGUGCAGCCACUUUAGUGGUGAGAAACAAACUGGGGAACAGCAUUCUGUAACACGCAUAUUCAGGUGUGUGUGCCUGUCCAUAUCACUUGAUCUACCCCUGUUUGUUUAGUCCUAGAUCAAGAAGUAAAAUGAAUUAGAAAUGCUCAGCCCUUGCCAGGAAACAAAAUAACUGUGCUAGAAUGUUCAAGCACAAGGAUCUCAAGAGCCAGUCUUGCCCUUGAGCUGCCUUGCAAAAAAUGAGAAGGGAGGAUGAAUUCUGGGCAGUGUGCUACGCUACAGUUGAGAAGGCUGCCUUUCAUUGUCUCUUCUUUCCCUCACUUUCUACGUAGCCUUGAGGAAGCCAAAUUGUAAAACUGUCAAAGGUGUCUAAACCUAAAAAGCAUACACAGCUCUCUAGAGGGACUUCACAAAUCACCAAGGGGCUUCAAUCUCUCAGGAUUUCAGCUUCCACUUUGUCAAAUAAAGACAAAAGUUCUCGCCACUACACCGCAAGGUCCUUGGGGACCACAGCAGGGGGAAGCUGUCUGUUCAGAGACAGCUUACUGAGUAGUGGGGGGAGAAAGGGAUCUCAGAUGCUUUUCAUUGCAAGCGAGACCUGUUACAUCCUGCCUGGAAAUCACAGAUUCUCUAAAUGUCAGGACAGCAGUUUCCUCUCAUUCAAAGCAAAAUCUUACAGGCUUACACUCUUUAACAUCCAUCCCACGCCCCUUUAUAUACAAAGUCAAAUAUUUGAGGCACUGAGUUUACUUUUUUCCCUUUCUUUUAACAGAUGAUACAUUCAGGCGUUGGGGUGGCCAAACUCACCUUUCUCAAAGCCUGAAGGGGCAGCUGUGAGGACAUGGUGAAAAUUCAUCACUUGGACUAAAAAAUGGAUAAAACUAUCGUAUAUCUGGCAAUUUUCUUUUUCACUCUGAUGCUGCUGCUUCUGCCUACAUUUCUCUCUGAGGUGCUCACCAGCACCUCCACUCUGAUGUGGUAGCUGGGGAAAAGUGCUUCCAUCUACCCAGCCCAGGCUAACUGCUCCUCAUCUCUGUCUUCCAUCAAGAGCUGUCAUUCCUCCUGUCUCCUGAGGCACCUUCUGUUGUGGCAGAAGUACAGGGGAAAAAGCACAACUGUAGCUGGGUUCUUUAGGGAGCCACACAAUAAAAGCAAAGCUGGCAAGACAGAAAGGCAAAACACAGGUAAGAACACCAAGGACAGAACAUUACUAACAUCCACAACAUGCUCCAAACCUGAACGUCAAAAUCUGUUUUUCACUAACCUUAAAUUAGAAAAUGCAACAAUAAGAAUAAUCUUAUCAUCAUCAUAACCGUCCAUUCAAUUCUCCUAUGACCCCCUGCACUGUCGAACUACUUGAGCCUGAAUCGCUUAUUUAUCAUCUUGUUUUGCAACAGCAUAACUCCACUGGUGCUGAGCUGAAGUCUGAAGUACAUCUGUCUGUUAAAGACAGUUUGUGUUAGUUCAAGUAAUGUUUAGCCUGUAGUGUAACAGCUUCUGUUUCUGGAGAACUUUAGCUCAGUCAACUGCAUACAUGCCAGAAAUAAAAUGAAUCAAAUGUACAUGGGAACUCUAUAUAAAUACAAAAUGAUCUGUGACCUCA